UAGAAACGUCUGCAUCAAGACUGGCUGUUCCUUAAAAGGCAAAGUUAAAGAUCGAGGGGAGAUCGUCUGGCACACGUAGCACAGCAGAACCUGGAGCCCCGUGCCUGCACCAGAGGCGAUGGGCAUGAACGGAAACAUGGGAGGUUCUGUCUGAACAUCAGAAAAUAGUCCUUCAGAAUUAGGAAAUUUCUUCUUGGCUGUAGAGGAAGCACAAGGAGAUUAAGCUUGCUGGGCUAAAGAAAGUGAAUCCACUGCUGUGAGUACAGAAUCUCAGAACUGGAGGGGAUGGAAGGGACCUCUGGAGAUCAUCCAGUCCAAAAGCUCCAUUAACAGGUUGUAUGCAAGCAGGUGGGAGAAGACGACUACCCCAGGAUGUGGAGAUGGAUGUGGCUAAACACUUAACAAACCUUGAGAAUGAAAAUAAACAGCCUCUAUUGCAGUUUCCUUGGCGCCAGUGUUCUUCCUGUUAGAGCACAGGUUUUGGCAAGCGGCUGGGAUAAGCACUUUGGCAGGCUGCUCCUCCUCGUGCUUUGGAGCAACGCCUGACUGGCUGGUGAGAGCCAUCAGCUGUCAUCAGCUAAACCCACUUUCACGCAUUUUUUUUUUCUAGCUUAUCAAACCAUUUGUUUCUCUGCUGGUACACGGUUCAUAGAUCUGCCUUCCCAAGCUGCUUACUAAUCAUUGACUCUUUUUCCC
rnacentral:lncRNA from 1 species